rnacentral:ncRNA from 1 species
GGGAGCCGGAUGCGGUGAAAGUCGCACGUCCGGAUCUAAGUGGGAGGGGCGAAGUGGUAACACUUCCUCCGACCCAAC